UUGACCCGGGGUUGUAAUAUAACCAAGCUGUGAUUUAUCAGUGCAUGGGUAUAAUACGACCUGGGCCAGGGGA
ensembl:miRNA